rnacentral:rRNA from 1 species
GACGAACGCUGGCGGCGUGCUUAACACAUGCAAGUCGAACGGAAAGGCCCUGCUUGCUGGGUGCUCGAGUGGCGAACGGGUGUGUAACACGCGGGUGAUCCGCCCCUUACUUUGGGAUAAGCCUUGGAAACUCGGUCUAAUACUCGAUAGGACCAUGCUGUAGGUGGUGUGGUGGAAAGAUUAGUUUCGGUAAGGGAUGAGCUCGCGGCCUAUCAGCUUGUUGGUGGGGUAAUGGCCUACCAAGGCGUCGACGCGUAGCCGGCCUCAGAGGGUGGCCGGCCACAUCGGGAAGAAGAUGAGAGGCAGACUCCUCCGGGAGGCGGAAGUGGGGAACAUUGCACCAUGGGCGCACGCGUGCUGCAGCGGCGCCGCGGGGGGGGGGACGGCCUUCGGGCUGUAGAGGCCUGGGAGCAGUGAUGAAGUGCAGUUGGUGACGGUAGUGGCAGAAGAAGCACCGGCUAACUACGUG